GGCAUCAGCUCCCUCAAACUGGUUACUGACUCCAAAGUCUGCUAUCUUGAUGUGUCCAUCUUCUCCCACCAAGAGGUUAGAGGGCUUGAUGUCUCUGUGGAUGAUCCUCUGUCACAGGCUGAGGGGAAGAAUAACAGGAGGUUUGGAAGACUCACAAUACUCGAUUCCCCUGAGCAGAUCCUGGAAGUAAAAGCGUGCCUGGUCCUCACUCAAAGGUUUAUCUGUCGGCACCUCCAUCACAGCCCUGAAUACAUGAAUACAUUAACAGGCUGGCCGACUAGCCAAGACGUACCCAUGUACAGAUGGUCUUCGCUGGGGUCAUCCAAAACCUGGCACCAAAUCACAGAGCUCCUAACUCGCAGUCUUCUGCACAUCAGCCUUCCCCAGGGUGCCCGAUGUCUUCCAGCUCGAGACAAAUUUCAUUUGACUCUGGAAUCACUAUUGCAGUUCAAUUUGUCAUUUUCUAAGAUCCAUUUGAAGUAGAAUCUCUACCUUGACAAAUCCAGAUUUUCAGUUAAUCAGGAAGCAACUCAUCAAAGGCCUGACCAUACCUGGAGGUCUGUGAUGGAAACACUGUGGGACUCCACAGUGGGUCGACGGGGCAAGCGUGGAGAGGAGUGAGGUGAUGUGAUGGCAGAGCCUCUGAGCGGCAAACUGUAUGGGACAGCAGGUCGCAGGAUGGAGUGGGGAAAGGUGCCGCCACAGAGGAAGCUGGUUCAGGUGUCUCAGAAC